rfam:Pseudomonas sp. BAY1663 contig000173, whole genome shotgun sequence.
CCGACUGUUCCACCACUCGUUCCCUACCCAGACAGGCGUGGCCGGUAACAGCCGGGUCUGAAGCUCUGGGACAAUGUUACCGCCGAUAUUUCGGUAGGUCGAACCGCGAGGCCAGACUGAAUCUGCCAGCAUCAAGGCGGAGAUUAGC